rnacentral:rRNA from 1 species
CCUACGGGGGGCAGCAGUGAGGAAUAUUGGUCAAUGGGCGGAAGCCUGAACCAGCCAAGUAGCGUGCAGGAUGACGGCCCUACGGGUUGUAAACCUCUUUUGUCGGGGAGCAAAAGACGCCACGCGUGGCGUUCCGAGAGUACCCGAAGAAAAAGCAUCGGCUAACUCCGUGCCAGCAGCCGCGGUAAUACGGAGGAUGCGAGCGUUAUCCGGAUUUAGUGGGUUUAAAGGGUGCGCAGGCGGAAGAUCAAGUCAGCGGUAAAAUUGAGAGGCUCAACCUCUUCGAGCCGUUGAAACUGGUUUUCUUGAGUGAGUGAGAAGUAUGCGGAAUGCGUGGUGUAGCGGUGAAAUGCAGAGAUAUCACGCAGAACUCCGAUUGCGAAGGCAGCAUACCGGCGCUCAACUGACGCUCAUGCACGAAAGUGUGGGUAUCGAACAGGAUUAGAUACCCGAGUAGUC